GCGAUUAUGGUGAAGUGGUUAACACGCCUGAUUGUGGUCCAGGUAUGCGUGGGUUCGACUCCCACUAAUCGCCCCA
rnacentral:tRNA from 1 species